rnacentral:rRNA from 1 species
CAGUAGCCGCGGGAAUACGAAGGGUGCAAGCGUUACUCGGAAUUACUGGGCGUAAAGCGUGCGUAGGUGGUGGUUUAAGUCCGUUGUGAAAGCCCUGGGCUCAACCUGGGAAUUGCAGUGGAUACUGGGUCACUAGAGUGUGGUAGAGGAUAGUGGAAUUUCCGGCGUAGCAGUGAAAUGCGUAGAGAUCGGAAGGAACAUCUGUGGCGAAGGCGACUAUCUGGGCCAACACUGACACUGAGGCACGAAAGCGUGGGGAGCAAACAGGAUUAGAUACCCCUGUAGUCCCUGUCUCUUAUAC